UACAGAGGUCUCGAGCGUUGUUCGGAUUCAUUGGGCGUAAAGGGUGCGUAGGCGGCGCCGUAAGUCGGGUGUGAAAUUUCGGAGCUUAACUCCGAGACUGCAUUCGAUACUGCGGUGCUUGAGGACUGGAGAGGAGACUGGAAUUCAUGGUGUAGCAGUGAAAUGCGUAGAGAUCAUGAGGAAGACCAGUGGCGAAGGCGGGUCUCUGGACAGUUCCUGACACUGAGGCACGAAGGCCAGGGGAGCAAGCGGG
rnacentral:rRNA from 1 species